rnacentral:lncRNA from 1 species
GAAACAAAGCAUGUGGCACAGUGUGGCAGGGAUCCAGCGGUCCAGAGCCUCCCAGAUAUGUGCAACUGUGUAUGGUCAGCCUGACACACCUCACCACACACCAGGCUCUGUGAUAGAUGGUGGGAUGACUCAGGUCUGGGCCAGAGGUCAGGAACGAGGAUGUGACAUAUUCCCAUCCCUGGGCCCCUCCAGGGGUGAGCUUCCCGAGCAGACCACGGCGGCUGCUGGUGGGGGAGCUGCUGUGCCAACCUGCACCAGGGUCAGAAGAUGACCAGCGAGGUGCCUGGGUAUGGUCAAGCUAUGAGGAAGGAACUGUGCUCUGUGAUCAUGCCGGACAGAAGGAGGACAGAGUCAAAUGGGCUAACAUGUGUCUGUGCUCCUCUUGAGAGGCAAACCACAGGCCCAAAUCACAGCACUAACAAGUGGCAAAGCAAAGGAAGGAAUGCAGGUGCAGCUGGUUCCAGCGCUCAGGGCUCCCUCCUUCCCUGGAUGCGGAGAAUAUUCUAGCCUUCC